CACUUAAUUAGCGAUUAAAUAAUUACGUUCUUUAUCAUUAGGGCCUCUAUUAAAAUGCGCAUCGGAACGUAGUCAGCGUUUAAUAGGGUUUGAAAAAAAAUGGUGGAGGUCCAGCAGUGUAAUCUGUGACUGUAAAAUCUCAGGCCCAAUAUUCUUCUCGGGAUUGAUGGUUAAAAAUAUAAAAAUACAAGGAAAAAAAUAAAUACAAAAAAGGAGAGACCUUCAAGUUUUUAUUAUAAAUACCAACAUAUCCUUCACCUAAACCUACACCUCCACCACCCCCUCCUCUUCCUCCUCUGCCUAAUAAGCAUCUGCAUCUGCAUCUCCCCUUUUGGGGUUUGCUCUUGUUGUCGUUCUCUGAUUGGCUGAAGCUUCUUAGCCAUCUUAUCUUUCUCUCUCUUGAUAUAUAUGGCCUUGGCGUCUCUCUAUUUCUCUCUAAUAGAUGGAAGAUGAUGAUCCUCCUUGUAUUCUUCCACAGCUUUCUUGAACUGCAUCCAUGUAUGACGAGAUCGACCGAUCUUUGGAGCGAGUCGACUCAGUCUCUCUAUUCCUCUUAACUUGGUCUGCGGUUCAAUAAAGCUGUGGGAAGAUACAGAUAGGCUCAAUAAAUUCACUCACAUAUCGGAUCUCCAUUGUCCCUCAUAUCUUGUGAUUGAUUGAUCUCCUCUGUGAGUUGUUUCGGUGGUGACAAAUUACAACGCAGUUCUGUUGAAGGGGAAUCUUCUGUAAACUCCGUUCCUCUCUCUUGGAUUGAGACUUCAGAGAACAUUCUUGAUAAGUAGUUCGAUCUCUGAUCCAUUUGUACUUUAACAUUCAAUGAACACUGUUUAAUGAUUGAUAUAUUUUAUAUUAACUCCUGCAAGAAAAGAUUAGAUUCUUGUCUUUUAA